GUAUAACAAUUAAGCAUUGGUUGAUUUUCGCCACUUGGAAUUAAAAAUUUACGUAACAAACUUCCUUCAUGCAAAGAGGUGUGAACAUUGGAUUAGAACUCGUACACACUGGACAAACAAAUUAGUCCCCACAUCAACUAACUCAAGUUCCAAACUCAUAGGCUAGCUAGUUAUAACCAACACUUAUAAAUACCACUCAAUAUUAACAAGAGAAAACAUCCCAACAGCACCCAAGUAUCUUGUACUACUACUUUUUCAAAACUCAUCUGCCAUCACUUUUAUUACCAAAAUGGCUGAAGAGAAGAAGCACCACUUCGGUCUCUUCCACCACAAGGACAAGGAGGAAGACAAAACUACCUAUGGAGAAACUCCAUAUGGUGGUGAUACUGAAAAAACUACCUAUGGAGAGAAUACAUAUGAAGAGAAAACUAGUUAUGGUGGGGGAGAUAACUAUGGGGAUAACAAAUAUGGUGAGAAAACUGGCUAUGGAGAAAGUGGAUAUGGAGAGAAAACUAGUUAUGGUGAGGGAGGUAACUAUGGAGAUAGUGGCUAUGAAAAUAAGACUAGCUAUGGAGAUAGUGGCUAUGAAAAUAAGACUAGUUAUGGAGAUAGCGGCUAUGAAAACAAGACUGGCUAUGGAGAUAUUCCAUCUGAUACUACCUAUGGAGAGAAAACUAAUUAUGGUGAAGGAGAUACCUAUGGAAAAGGAGCUGCCUACUCAUCUGAGACCACUAAUUUUGAAGAGACUACUGAUGAAGGCAAAACUGGUGAGGAUUAUGAGAAAGAGAAAAAGCACCACAAGCAUC
rnacentral:lncRNA from 1 species